GUCUGAGCCAGCAUCCUGCACUCCAGCAGGAUCUGCUUUCGGCAUCAGAAGCUGCUUCGAGACAGAGGAAUAGUGGAAGGGUUAGAGCAGACCCCUUACUUCCUUUCGACAGUCUUGCUGAACUUAAAAGUCCAAAUCCUUGAUCAGCUAAGCCUCACCUGAGGCCAAGGGACAGAGGAAAAGAUGGCAGGGUAGAGACCCUUGGAUUGGCUUAUUUGGACUUUGGAUUUUUCCCUGACUUUCUUGGUCAAGCCUCAUGUCAGAUCCAGGUAAGAAUGAUGUACCUUUGGAAACUACCGAGAACAGCUUCAGGAAGCAGCUAUACAGUAAGCCCUACAGUUGGAGGAUUUAUGUCAGUGGAAAAAUCUGUAGCAUUUUACAAAUCGUGAGGUUGAGAACUAUACCUGGUUCCUGCAUCAGAAGAAAAUAGCAGUCCUUUUUCCCUCCCUAUGAAAGAAAGCUUUUACAGAACAUGUGGUUGAAGAAGAAGGAGAGUCAGUGCCCCUCCCCUCGCCCCCUUUUUUAAAACAAAGAAGCUAAAUGAGAACACUUAACGCAGAAGAGAACUGUGUUCAUUGUAGCACUUUUCGAGGUCUGCUGGAGCCAUUUAGAUAAACAAAUUAUGCAGCUCCUCCUCCUUUGGUAACCUUGAUCCUGAAUGAGUGAGUGCAAUAGUCCUACAGAUUUUUGUCCUCUGCAUCCCCACUGAAGCUGCAGAGGGUCCUCAGCAAGACCUCAUCAAGUAGGGGGAAAUUAAAGAGAAAUUGUUCAUGGUACCUUCUCUCACCUGACAAUAAACUGGCAUCGUUUUGGCCCCAUCCAGAAGAGAAAAGCCUACCUGUAGGAACACAGAAAGAAGAUCUGGAGCUUGCACGUCAUCUAAGAGAAGAAUGAAGGGAGGUUUAUCAUGUUGCUAUCCAGGGAACACAUUCUCUAAGGAUGGGAUAGGAGGAAGCAAGAACAGACAGUCAACAGAGGAUAUCUUAGAGGACGUAAAUCCAUUGGAGUGUUUCAAGAAAGCAAGAGAGACAGAAUUCAGCCAGACUUUCAAAAGGAAAAGAAAGAAUUAUGUCCAGCACUCUUUCAAUU